CUCCUUUUCUUUUUUUUUCUCUCUUUAGAUCUCUUUUCAAAUUGAGGGAUAGAUAGAUCCUCUGGAGGCUAGCUUAGGUUUAGUGAUAUGUUCCUAGACCUUGGUUCUAUCAUUUAGAGGUAGACCAAUACUAUCAACUUGAGGUUGAGCCAUUGGUAAGUAGACCUAAGGUUGGUACCCAUGAUUUGGAAUGAUCCUAAAUUAC
rnacentral:lncRNA from 1 species